AGAGUUUGAUCAUGGCUCAGGGUGAACGCUGGCGGUGUGCCUAAUGCAUGCAAGGCGUACGGUUCCGGCUUGUCCGGGAUAGUGGCGAACGGCUGAGUAACGCGUGAGUAACCUGCCCUUAAGUGGGGGAUAACCCCGGGAAACUGGGGCUAAUACCGCAUGUGUUGGUAGAGCAGGAGCUUUAUUAACAAAGCCGAAAGGCGCUUGAGGAGGGGCUUGCGUCCUAUCAGGUAGUUGGUGAGGUAACGGCCCACCAAGCCUAUGACGGGUAGCUGGUCUGAGAGGAUGAUCAGCCAGACGGGGGCUGAGACACGGCCCUGACUCCUAUGGGAGGCAGCAGCAAGGGAUUUUGGGCAAUGGGCGAAAGCCUGACCCAGCGACACCGCGUGGGGGAUGAAGGCCUUCGGGUCGUAAACCCCUUUUCUCAGGGAAGAAAAAUGACGGUACCUGAGGAAUAAGCCUCGGCUAACUACGUGCCAGCAGCCGCGGUAAUACGUAGGAGGCGAGCGUUACCCGGAUUUAUUGGGCGUAAAGAGAACGUAGGCGGUUUACUAAGUCAGGUGUGAAAUCUCACUGCUUAACGGUGAGGGGUCAUCUGAUACUGAUAAGCUAGAGGGUUGCAGGGGAAAGCGGAAUUCCCGGUGUAGCGGUGAAAUGCACAGAUAUCGGGAGGAACACCAGUGGCGAAGGCGGCUUUCCAGGCAAUCCCUGACGCUGAGGUUCGAAAGGGUGGGGAGCGAACAGAAUUAGAUACUCUGGUAGUCCACCCCGUAAACUAUGGACGCUAGGUAUGAGGAGUAUCGACCCUCUCCGUGCCGAAGCUAACGCUUUAAGCGUCCCGCCUGGGGAGUACGGCCGCAAGGCUAAAACUUAAAGGAAUUGACGG
rnacentral:rRNA from 1 species